AUGUGUUUUGGAAAACUGAAAUCUCUGCUGGGGGCGGGGACAGGAAAUUCUGUCUCUGGUUUUAUUGUGUGGCAGUCUUUACAAGCUGAGGCUCCUCCUCUCACUGGCAGUCUCCGUCUGUAUUUCAACCGCGCUCUCGGCUUCUCGCGAAAAAUCCGGUCUCAACUAAAGCUGCUGAUGUCAAAAAUGUUAAAGUCCGAAUCAGUGCUCAGCGCGAUAGGGACCAUUCCUUAUUUCUGUCUUCUCCUGCUUUGCCUUCCAGGCGUGCAGUCCGAUAUUCUGCUGAAAAAACCGGAGUCAGCUGUGGUAAAGCUUGGACAAUCCCACAAAUUGAACUGUGCAGUCAGUGGGAUCAGCCUUAGCAACUCUGACAUGUACUGGGUGAAACAGGUCUCCGGGAAAGGGCUGGAAUGGCUGGCCGCUGUAUGGGGCGGCGGUGGCAAGAAGUACGCGCCUGGAGUCGAAGGCCGAUUCGAGGUUGCCAAGGACAGCAGCACCGUUUAUCUUCAAAUGAACAACCUGAGACUGGACGACGCGGCCACCUAUUACUGUGCGGGAGACACAGGGAGAGAAAUCGGGAGUCGACCGGGACAAAAACCAAGCGAAAGCGCCGACCAGUAA